GCGUAAGCGCGCGCAGGCGGUCUUUUAAGUCUGAUGUGAAAGCCCACGGCUCAACCGUGGAGGGUCAUUGGAAACUGGAGGACUUGAGUGCAGAAGAGGAGAGUGGAAUUCCACGUGUAGCGGUGAAAUGCGUAGAUAUGUGGAGGAACACCAGUGGCGAAGGCGGCUCUCUGGUCUGUAACUGACGCUGAGGCGCGAAAGCGUGGGGGAGCAAACAGGAUUAGAUACCCUGGUAGUCCACGCCGUAAACGAUGAGUGCUAGGUGUUGGGGGGGUUCCACCCUCAGUGCUGAAGUUAACACAUUAAGCACUCCGCCUGGGGAGUACGACCGCAAGGUUGAAACUCAAAGGAAUUGACGGGGGCCCGCACAAGCAGUGGAGCAUGUGGUUUAAUUCGAAGCAACGCGAAGAACCUUACCAGGUCUUGACAUCCUCUGACAAUCCUGGAGACAGGACGUUCCCCUUCGGGGGACAGAGUGACAGGUGGUGCAUGGUUGUCGUCAGCUCGUGUCGUGAGAUGUUGGGUUUAAGUCCCGCAACGAGCGCAACCCUUUGAUCUUAGUUGCCMGCAUUCAGUUGGGCACUCUAAGGUGACUGCCGGUGACAAACCGGAGGAAGGUGGGGAUGACGUCAAAUCAUCAUGCCCCUUAUGACCUGGGCUACACACGUGCUACAAUGGACGGUACAAAGGGCAGCGACACCGCGAGGUGAAGCAAAUCCCAUAAAGCCGUUCUCAGUUCGGAUUGCAGGCUGCAACUCGCCUGCAUGAAGCCGGAAUUGCUAGUAAUCGCGGAUCAGCAUGCCGCGGUGAAUACGUUCCCGGGCCUUGUACACACCGCCCGUCACACCACGAGAGUUUGUAACACCCGAAGUCGGUGGGGUAACCUUAUGGAGC
rnacentral:rRNA from 1 species